ACAGGGGCCACCGGAAGCCUAGAGAGCAACAAAGCGGUGGGUAGGCUGGAGAUGUUUCCUAGGACCCGGGCGUUUGUGGUGGGUUUGAAGCCAGCUCCAUGAAAAGCCGGCCCAAAGUGGGCUGUCCCCGGUGUCACUUGAACUCUCCCAUUUCAAGUUGCCGGCUAGGAAAACUGGAUCUCAAAUGGUUAUUGGCAAGGAGGGCAGGCUUAGAGAUAGGGGUGCAAAUUCCUGGUGAAGAGCAGGCAAACAAAGUAGCACUGCCAGGUCCUCGCACUCGCUGGUUUUGGAUCUUCUAAGCCCCUCUACAAGCCCACGCACGCAGAGACGCGAGUUGGCUAACUCAGGGCAGGCUGGGACGCAGGGGGACGCCGGGACCCCCCGGGGCUGAAGUAAACCCGAGGACCUAACCUUCCCGCCUCCUCCCGGGCCCUCGCCCUCCAACCCACUGCGGAGUCGGGGGCUGGAGUCGGCUGCUUCCGCCAGGCCAGCCACCCCUCCCCGGCGCGCGCCAUCCGGCAGCGGGGCAGCAGCGCUGCCCCUCCUCCCGCGGGGGUCUUCUAGUUCCCUGUCCCGUCCCUGUGGGCUGAAGCCUGCAGCCCACGUCCAAGGAGGGCGGAGGGAGGAAGAGAGGGAGGGGAGAAAAGAGGGGAGGGAGAGAGGGGAGAGAAAGGGAGCUGCUUCCAUCCAGUACUUCCCAGAGCCUGCCAGGAGCGCGCACUCAGCGCCUCUACGAGUCCCAGCGUCCCAGCCGCGGCCCGCGCCCCGCACCACCACCACCACCUCUUCUUCUUCCUCCUCGUCUCGGGCCACCCCUCGUUCUCUUCUUCAGCAGCUGUUAGGCUCGGGCAGCAGCAGCCCCCAGCCCCAACUCGGCCACAUCCCCAACUCCCGGGACUCACUCCUGGGACGCGCGUCCUCGCCCCAUCCUUUCUUCCUUCCUUCCCUCGCGCCCGCCCUCCCUUUCCAGGUCUCCCUCCGGGUCCCGAUUGUCUUCGUCCCUUGCUCCCUUGGCUCGCGCCCGCGCCCUGCCCCGUCUCUCCCUCGCACUUCCUGAGUCGCGGGCUGCCCCACGCCGCGCCGCAGGAGCCCAAGCCCCAGCCACCGCUGCCCCAGCUCCAGCCCUCGCAGCCCGCGGCCCCCAUCCGAGGGAGCCCCGGCGCCCGGGGAAAGCAAAAGUGGGCGAGCGCGCCGUCGCCCAGCCCCGCGCCCCAGCCCUGCCCGGCGAGAAAGGACCGGGAAGAUGAACAACGGCGGCAAAGCCGAGAAGGAGAACACCCCGAAUGAGGCCAACCUUCAGGAGGAAGAGGUUCGGACCCUAUUUGUCAGUGGUCUCCCUCUGGAUAUCAAACCUCGGGAGCUCUAUCUGCUUUUCAGACCAUUUAAGGGCUAUGAGGGUUCUCUUAUAAAGCUCACAUCUAAGCAGCCCGUAGGUUUUGUCAGUUUUGACAGUCGCUCAGAAGCAGAAGCUGCAAAGAAUGCUUUGAAUGGCAUCCGCUUCGAUCCUGAAAUUCCGCAAACACUACGACUAGAGUUUGCUAAGGCAAACACGAAGAUGGCCAAGAACAAACUAGUAGGGACUCCAAACCCCAGUACUCCUCUGCCCAACACUGUACCUCAGUUCAUUGCCAGAGAGCCAUAUGAGCUCACAGUGCCUGCACUUUACCCCAGUAGCCCUGAAGUGUGGGCCCCGUACCCUCUGUACCCAGCGGAGUUAGCGCCUGCUCUACCUCCUCCUGCUUUCACCUAUCCCGCUUCACUGCAUGCCCAGUGUUUCUCUCCUGAGGCAAAGCCCAACACACCUGUCUUUUGUCCACUUCUCCAGCAAAUUAGAUUUGUCUCUGGGAAUGUGUUUGUCACAUAUCAACCUACUGCAGACCAGCAGAGGGAGCUCCCAUGUUGAAUUUGUCUGUUAGCUAUUUUUCCCCCUUUUGCAAAAAACUAUUUCUUGGUGACAUUUGAGAGAUUUCAAUAAAAAUUUUAAUCAGAGCAAAAAAUGAUGUCAAGUAGACUACAGCGUUUUGUUUUUAUGGUAAUGAAAUUUUGAAACAAAAAUGUUACUCUCUGAUUGAGGUUUUGGGAGAAUUGGGCCCAUGACAGCUAAGUGUAUGUUACACAGAAGGACUCAGAAUGAGCACCUGGGGACACCAAGCCCCAGAACCCAGGCCUCAUCACUGCUGCACAUAUCUUCUUGGGCUCCUGAACCACUACAAGCUGCGUACUAGAAGAUUCUCAUUCCAGCCUUCUCAGCUACCAGGUCAUCUCACUUCAGGAAGGACAGGAUGUCUAGCUAGCAGAAGCCCAUUUGCAACAAGUGGAUGUGUUUUCCAGUUCAUCGGUUGUGACCCAGUGGAAAGAGGACCAGGAAACGGAAGUUGUCAUUAAAGGAGUUGGGUCACAUUUCUACUUCUGACCAAAUUUUAGUCAUGAGGGCGCUCCCUCAGAUUUCCCAGUUUUAAUUUGAAGAUACUUUUUGCCAUCAACUCCCAUUUUUUUAGAAAUGACUGGAUAAAGUAAUAGGACUGCAUGCUGGGUAGUACCUUAUUAUUUUGGGAGAUUAAAGUACAACCCUGUAUUAAACAUCUAAUUUCUAACAUCAUCAACAGUUUUAGAAGUGAUUGUCCAGUUCACUCUGAAGGCCACUGGUAUUUGAAUUUUACAAAAUAUGUAGGAAGGUUUCAUCCACUACUCUCUGGAAGGUCUAAAGACAACAUAUAGCACUUCCUAUCAUGUCAUGCUCACAUAUCUCUGCUUUUAGUCUUGUUGCUUAUGGGGCAGAGAAAGUGUGCAGUCCUCUCCACAUUCUAGAAUUCGAGCAUGAUUUACCCUCCUCUAGAUUCGGUCACAAAAUUGGGUCAGAGAAUUUUGCAGGGAAAUAGGACUGGAAGAGAGAGUCCUGGUUGCCUACUGAUUCUCCAGAACCCUCACUUGCCCAAGUUUCAGCAGGUACUUUGGAACUCACGUAGGCUGUUGUACAGCUUGUGAUUGCAGAAUCACCUGUUCUGUAGAAACAGAAGGUUUUGAGACAAACUCACAACACAAACUUCUUGGAGGUGUGCCCCUGGGGAGACCCCUUGUGACACACUGGAAAAAUUUAAAGGUUAAUCUCAAAAUAAAUACAGAAGUAAACCAUGGGAAAGGAGACAUAGACAAAUAGGACAGGGAGAUCACAAAGGGAGAGGUGGGCCUGGGGCUAGUAGUAUGUGGGUUGCCUGCACUUCAGGGCUGACCCCAAUACCACCACAUCUAAGUAUCUCCUCUGUCAUUAACUACUGUUCUAUGGAAAAUACUGAGAAAGAGAAGACACGGAGACUUGUUUUGCAUAGCAGGUAUCUAAAGAAUGAGAGGGAAUGUGCACAGAGCCCCUUUGAUAAUCACCUGGCUCCGUAGAAGCUGUCCUACCCAGGUAUCUGGUAUAACUCACAUGACAAGGAGUCUUGCUUUCCCCCAGACUCCACCUCCUAUUCAUCAAGCAGUAGCUAGUGUUAUAAUGGUGGUUAAUCCUGUCAGGGACCUGUGAUCAAAACCUCCAACCUGCAGGGAGGGGCUUUAUCACCACGUGCAGGCCUGGCUUCCAGAAGUAAGGGAGAUUAUGGUCACUUCUGUGAAUCCCAGGUUCUAUCAGCUCAUAACCCUGGCUCCCUUGUCUUCCAGGCCUGGCUCUCCCACAGGUAGAUUGUCUUGCUCCCAAAGCUGCUGCUUGCAGCUGUCCAGAAGACCCAAAGCUUUAAGUUGUGCUCAGACAUUGAUAAAACAAACUGUUAAUCCUCUGACAAUUAUUACAUUUCCCUCUAAACCUGCAGCUCCCUGAGGCCAGAUUGUGAGGAGAAAGUACUCCUUGAGUGCAGCAACUCCUUGACAGCUCCAGUCUUGUCUUGUUAGGCUUUCUAGGAGCAUCUAGGUGAGUGCUUACAGGAGAUAGGGGCAGGGGGACCAGAUACUGUCCUCAUAGCAUUAGUCUCCUGUGACUGUGGCUGGUGCCUUCUGCAAAGAACACCAAGUCCCUUUCCUUUACCCACCCUUUCCUGUUGGCCUGGUCCUGUGCUGUGAACUGAGCCCAUCAGGAGCAUUCCAAGAUGCUGCUUUUUCUAAUUCCAGACAGAGCUCAAAAUGUGGUUCUACCAUUUGCAAUCUCUGCAGCUUUGAUUGAGCAUGUUCUUUAACCCCAUCUGGGCUUCAGGAAAAAGCAGCUAAUCAUUCCUCAUAUAAAAGACUUAGUAGUACCUGGCACACAGUUUUGGGGGGUGUCAGUUUGUUCUUAAAAAGCAGGCCCUUCCCAGGAGACUUGAAUUUUCAAUAAGGAGAAAGAAUUGAGGACUAAAUCCCAGUUGCCCAUAGGGCAGUGGUAAUUAAACCCCUGAGGACAUACAGUAUGUUUUGAUGACAGUAACGGGGCUUCAGAGCCCUUCUGUGCCAAAUGGAAAGUCAGCAACUGGAAAGAAUGAGGGACCAGAGUAAGAUGAAGUGACAGAGUGACCCCAACAUUGCUGAGUGACAGCUCCUGCCCUACAUCCAGCAGUAUGGCUUCCACAGCUGUGCCAGCAGUUGGAGAACUUGUCCCCAAAAGGAAGUUCCCCCGCAGCCAUGCCGGCACAGGCCUGCCAGCAGAAAACUUCCCCCUGACAGGAAACAAGAGUGGGAAAUGACUGAAAUCCCAGAGAGACAGCAGUGCCUGUUGUUGCUUUCCACAGAGCCACUGUCCCUGAACUUUCCAGCUGCUGCCUUAUCUUACUCUCCUAUCAGAGAAACUGGAGAAGAGAAGGACCCUCAGGUCACCCAGCCUGUUCCCUCUGGGCCUCUGGUGCUUUCUUCCCACAAUCCCCCUCCUCGGGAAUUCUGCCCAGCCUCGUUUCCAGGCAGUGAAGUUAGUAUCUGGCCUCAGGGAUUCUUCUCUUUAGUGCUACGAUUGACACCCAGAGGAUCCUACUCCUGGCUAAGCAAGUACUCUCUCUCUGGGUCCCUGUCCAUCCCUUCCCCUCAUCUCCUCUGGUAUUUGCAGAACUAGGGAGCCCCUUAAUAAGAAAUGAGAGAUGUAAGAAUGACACUGGCCUCUUUUAAUGCAAUCCAGAGUCGUUUAUCUUGGCCUUUUAGGGACAUUUGCUCCUUCAGCCAGAGUGGCUACCAAUGAAGCCCAAACUGCCACCAGUUUUAGGUAAUAAACAUGUCAUGAAGAAACCAGAAUCAGUCACCUAAUGUGUGUCCAUGUGGCCCUGGUCAGGGUCACUGAGCCCAAGAAGACUUCCCUAGAAAUCAGUGGUGUCAUUCAUUGCCAAGACGGGAGCUGGCUCAGAGCAGCCACCUCUGAGGGCACAGGAGUGCUGCCUUCAGUGCCCAUACUGUCUCCAGAUUUCUUAGCAUGUCCCAUUUUGUCCUCCAUGCAAAACUAAAUCAAUGGAUCUUAUGCAGGUUUUCUCUGACCUCACUGGCAGUAUGAGCCCAGACCCGAGUCACACCUGUAAGUACUAUGGGGUGGUUUGGGGGUUUUGCUGUUGUUUGUUUUGUUUUGUUUUCUCUCUUUUUGCAAUACUGGGGAUGGAAUACUUCUACCACUGAAUUACAUCUCCAAUCCUUUUAUUUUUUAUUUUGAGACAAGUUCUCAUUAAGUUCCCAGGCUGGCCUUGAACUUAUGAUCCUCUUGCCUCAGCCUCCCCAAUAGCUGAGAUUACAGGUGUGGGCCACUGUGCCUAGCCUGUAAGUACUGUUCAUGAACUUACUCCUUCCUUAGGAUUAUCAGCAAAUGUGUGGACCAACUGUCACAGUCACAUAGUGCAGACAACCUGGCGCCUAAUCAGGACUCUUAAUUAAAUCAAACAGGAUUCUCGUGACAGUUUCUGUCUUCUCUACUAAAUUUGAGAUUUUAGGCAAAUUUUAACCUUGAUGAGCCUCAGUUUUAUUAUCUAUACAUAGGAAGAAUGAACAUCUAUCUCAUAGGGUUCAUUUACAAAAAGAAGUAAAAGGCUUUGCAUAAAAAUAGGCAUUAUUAUUAAAACAGCUCUUCCAUUACCUUCCUUUUGUCAGAGGGGGUUCUGGAGUGGCCCAGAGGCUCCUGAGUCCUCUCCAUAAGUGUAAGGAGCACAUAAAACAUGGACUCCAGACCAGGACCCGACAAGAGAAACCUAAGGGUUUGGGCUUUGCUCUUUGGUUAGGAAGAAGAGCAGGUAGAGCAGGGUAAGUGGCUUGCAGUGUAGACUGAGAGGAAGCCCCUUUGUGGGGUCAGCAGGCCAUCCACCAGGAGUUUGGGGCCCUUCCUUAGGCACAGGAACCACAGCACCAUCCCAGAGUAUGUGAAUUCUAACUACUUUGAACACAAACCAGAGGUGGGAGAAAAACUUUGGAGUUACACAAUGUAAUCUUCACAAAGGAGAAAGUGAACUUUUCCUUGAAGAAAACCAGUUGUGACAAGGGGAAAAAGGAAAAUCAACUCCAAAUGGGAUCAUGUUUUAUUCAGGAUUUGUGCUGCCAGUGGGGAAGGCCAGAACCCAGUGACACGAUGAGAAAGUGGGACACCCCAACCUCAAGCCUCAUGCGUUCCGCCACAAAGUUCUACCCGCUUCACUGAGCUCAGCUCCUAGGGACCUCUAAUGGCCCUUGAUAGCAAACAUAGUUAAAAAUUAACAGACUGACAAAAUUAAAAAUGGAUGGCAAGCAACCACUGUGGACUUAAUCUGACACAGGGUGUUACAUGCUUGGGUGCCCUCAACCCAAGUGGCGUCUUGAGUGAACUUGGAGAUGUCUGAGCACAUUUCACAUGCCUGUUUGGAAGCAAGAGCCUGACUUGUGCUUUGGACAGACAGGAAAAAAGUCUAAGAGCCCAAGAGAGAAAACCACCCCUGAGUUCUUGUGUUUAAUGAAACCCAGUCUUGAUUUGUCUUAGCAGGAGGUACUCAUGGUCCCAGGACCUUGCUCUUGUGGUCUAAACCUUGUCCCUGCCCCAUCUUAGACCUCGGCAGUUCCUUGCCAUCCUGCCUAAGAGGUUUGCAAAAGCAGAGAGCUGGGGGUGGAGCAUGGACUUCUCCAGCCAUGAUCUUUUUGCUCACCCCUUUUAUAGCAGCCAGGUUGGGUGAGAUGGCAGGUUUAGCCUGUGAACCAAGUUCUAUAAAUCUUAACAUUUUGCCUAGGUAGUAACAACUUGUUUUAUUGUCUUAGGCAGGGAGUAUCAAGAUGCCAAACAAGUAGUAAAGAGUGCUGAUUGCCUCUUGUACCCUGUGCAUCUGCUCAGAGAGAACAUGGCUGCCAGCAUGGAGAGUUAGAGGGGUGUGGGGCAGGGGGUUCCUUUACUACUGAUCCACAGUGGGCCUCGUUUCAUGCAGCAUAGCCAUGCCUGAAAAGUCUUCUUCCAGCUGGGGUGAGUGCUUUAUGAGAAAUGGAGAAGGUUGCUGCUUAAGGAACCCUAUAAUUGGUGCCAAAGAGGAAAUCUUUGCAUUGCAAGUCAUCACUCCAGUCUUUUGAGUGAGUUUGGAAUUUUUAACAGCAGAGGAUCCUUCCGGCUUGCAGCCCUGACAGUCUACUGAAGAACUUAUCUGGGCUUUAAUUGGUGAUGCUGCCCAAGAGAAGGUCCAGAGAGGUCUGCAGCAAGUGGGGGCAGAAUUGUCAUUAAAUCAACACUUUAGUGGCUCAGGGCAGUCAUUUCAAGGUUGGGAAGCCCCUGGUGGGUUUUUCAAGGCUCCGUCUGGGGACAAAGGUAGAAACCUACCUAAGAAUACCUAGGCCUUAAAAACUGACAAAUCCAGGCUGGGGUUGUAGCUCAGUGGCAGAGCACUUGCCUAGCAUGGGUGAGGCACUGGGUUCAAUCCUCAGCACCACAUUAAAAAUAAAUAAAUAAAAAAUAAAGGUUAAAUUCUUUUUAAAAAAUUUGGCAAAUCCAUUAGUUUGAGCCAUUCACAUAAAACGUUUGUUCAAGUUACUGUUUUUGAUUGUUUUGUUCAAAGAACAUCUGAAUGUGCUUGCUGAGGAAUCCUGCACCUGCAUUAGGAAAGGUACAAGGAAAUCCUCAGUGCCCUAUACAGAUCAGACAUCCAGGACACCAACCGAUUUAGUGGACUUCCAGUUUAAUUUUACUGAGAGCUGGAGAUGUGAAUGCCACAUUGGCACACUUCGGCUGCCUAGGGGGGCCUUCCUGACUACUAUUUUUCAGCACCCACAGAUAUUAAUAGUGGUUAUAGAACUGAAAAAUCCCAUGGUCAGAUAAACCCAGUGCUAGGUCAAGCCAAACAGGUUUCUUUAUUUUGGAACUUCUCAGAACUUUUCAUAGCUGCUUUGGGUCCAGAAUCUGCUGAGGAGCACAGACUGUGCAUUUCUCUCAAACAUACCCCAUUGUAGAGCAUUUCUAGACUAGUCUUCUAACCAUACAUCUGGAAACCUUCAUCAAGAGCAUUGUCUAGGAAGUUCCAGGGAAUGCUGAUGGUUCUGGGACCACACUUGGAGAACCACUCUUUUCUUCUAUAUUCGCCAGAGAAGAAAAAUAGCCAAACCAAAGGUUUUAACUAACAAUAGUGACCAUUAAUUGGCCAAUACCUGGUAAGCAUUUCUUGUAACUGUUUCUAAAUGCAAGUGUGCUCAUGGAACUCAGUCACUAGAAAGGGGCUAGUACUAGGCAAAUGACCUAGUGUCUUAACCUGUGCUUAGAACCCAUAGGAGGUGGGAGGGAUGGUACAUUGAGCAGGGUUCUGCCCUAUUGACAGGGUCUUCCUUUCCUUGGCAUCAUUAAUUGGGAACAUAAAUUCUGUAUGUGUUUUAAUCCUCUGGGGCUUAGCUUCUUUAUCUAUAAAUGGAAGAGGAUGUAUGUAAAUUAUUUUUAAGGAUGCUCACUAACUCUAGCUUUCAUUUUAUCUUUGCUCCCAGUUAUUUCUUUUCUGAGCAUCUCCUACUCCUGUCCUGUCCUGCACUUGGAGGUGUUAGAGCCUGUGUGUUGCCUUGCAGGGGGCUCUGCAUUGUAAAAGAGCAUUCUGGGAGGAAGUGAUGGGAGGAUUCCAAAAGCCUGGCCCCUGAAUAGUGGAUUGUACAGAAACAACUGGUCUAGUAGAGAAGUUUCCCAGAGUCUUCCAGUUUGUUCACUCAGAUUUCACAGUCCUUGUGAAGUUCCUAGUACUGUCUGUCCAAACUAAAUCAGUGUCAGUGUUGGUUAAAUAUAUUAUGUUAGAGGUUCUUAUGGAGACUUUAGAAGCCCCUGGGAUUGUAUGUAGGUUUGUGAAUGUGUGAGUGUGAGUGUGUGUGAGCACACAUGUGCGUUUUUCUGCAAACAGGAUGAAGAAAUGUCAAGGAUCAUUGCCUUACAUGGAAAGCCAGCCCUUAUCGCUACACAGGUGGAUUGAGUAGGCUUAAACCCCUACUGAGCUAUUCCUGGAGAAGAGUAACAGGGAGUCUACAGGGAGCUGUGGUUUUCCACAGUGUUAAUGAUGCAGCUCAAGCAGCUCCUAGGGAAUAGACAGGAGUAUCGUGGGGCCCAAAGCCAUAGCAGGAGCAGCCCAAAUGGGAAUAAGGGGGAACCCUCUGAUCACAAGACCUGAGCAGCUGUGAUUAGAACAAAACAGCCUGUUCAGUUGCCCAGACUCCUGACUUUGCCACAUAAACUCUGGUCCCAUGUUGUGGCAGCAACAUCCCUGAGAGGCUCAAACUCCACCUGAUGGGCGCUACCCUCUACUGGAAGGUGUGUGUUACUGGGCCUCAGUGCCAGAAGAAGAGGGUGUCUUGGGUUGUGUUUGGAAUACAGUGACAAGAGCCCAACCUGUGGCAAGUCGCAGUAGUCCCAGUCAUGGGACACAAGAGUGAUGAAUUUUGUGAUGAGAUCUGUACUUCACCUGCCACCACGUUCCCCCUGAGGAUCAGCUGGCCUGCUUCCACAUUGGCAUCCUCCCACUUCACCUCAGCUCAGCUGAGCAGUUAUCCUGGACCUGCCCCUGGGAACCAUCGUUCUUGUCACCUGGGAUGGUCCCAGCCCAGGCUGAUGGAACCCCCAGGACGGACGCAUGUGCGACUGAGAGAAUGCAGGGGCUGUGUGUGGGUAGAGAGGUGGGUGGAGAGCCUGGGUGGAUGGGAGGUAAGGGGCUUCCUUUGUGCACUCACCUUCACUGAUCCCAGUCCUAUGCCAUCCACUCUGCGGCUCUUCUCCCAGUCAGCCCUUCCUGUGCCCCUCUGAAACACCAUCGCGUCUUGGCCUCCUCAGGGCUCAACGCCCCCACACCCAGGCAGCACAGCCACCACCGCACUCCACACUGACCCUGGUGCACAUGGACCCAUCCCCCUUCUACUGUGUGUCUAGGUUCCCAGCCCCCCACCUGUCCCAGGGGCCCUGUGUCCUGGCCCCUCCUUUACCACCUGUCUCAGGAAGGCAGCUCCAACUCUGCUCUCUGCUUAGUGAGCAAGUGGAUUCAGAUGCACAAAGCCAUAAGCCAUGGGAUGCGCUGGCUCCCUCCCUCAGAGGCUACUUCUCAGGGCUGGAAGUCCCGUCAGUUCUGCUGAAUGCUCUGUCCCAGGUGUGUGAUGGCGGCUGCAAUCUGUCUUGUGGGUAUUAAUGAGAUCUUCACUGGUGGCGACUGUACUCCAGCUGUUGUGCAAAACUGGAGCUUGCUGGGACUGAAAUAGCCACACUUUGACCUUCUGUUCAGCCUGGGAACAUUGAUGGCAAUGUGGAUACAUUCUUUUCCCAUUUGAGGAAGGAGGAGAUAACCUUUGGGAAGAAAGUAACAACCCAAGAUAAUCCCUGUGAAAGCCACAGUGGCCUGGACAGUGAGAACUCCGGCUUGGAGUUGGAGGAAGCCCUGGAGGCUGAAGGGAUCAGGAAAGGCUUGAAAAAACCUUGCCCAGUUUUGAUCCCUUCAAGACUUUGCCACAGCCUCUAUCACACAUCUGUUUUUCUCGAAGAAAAAAAUAUAUAUAAUAAAAAAUGUUUUACUCUUUUACACUGUA